rnacentral:rRNA from 1 species
UACGGGGGGGGCAAGCGUUGUCCGGAAUUAUUGGGCGUAAAGGGCUCGUAGGCGGCCAACUAAGUCAUACGUGAAAUCCCUCAGCUUAACUGGGGGAACUGCGUGUGAUACUGGAUGGCUUGGAUUUGGGAGAGGGAUGCGGAAUUCCAGGUGUAGCGGUGAAAUGCGUAGAUAUCUGGAGGAACACCGGUGGCGAAGGCGGCAUCCUGGACCAAUAUUGACGCUGAGGAGCGAAAGCCAGGGGAGCAAACGGGG